CUGGAGCACGUUUUCGAGACCCGAAUUCCGACUACGAGCUUUUCAAACGCAACAAUUUAAAUAUACGCUACCGGAGCUGGAAUUACCGCCGCUGCUGGCACCAGACUUGCCCUCCGGUCGAUCCUCGAGAUCGGACUCGCGUCGGGUGGGGA